rnacentral:rRNA from 1 species
CCUGAGUUCAGAAGGUUUGCUGUGCGAAAGUCAGCUUUCCUUCAUUUUUAUCUCUAGGGAUCUAUGUAUUCUUAUAUACUCCUAAUGAAUGUAACAGAAUGUUAUAUUGAUUUUGAAACACAAUAUAUACAACUUUCAACAAUGGAUCUCUUGGCUCUCGCAUCGAUGAAGAACGCAGCGAAAUGCGAUAAGUAAUGUGAAUUGCAGAAUUCAGUGAAUCAUCGAAUCUUUGAACGCACCUUGCGCUCCUUGGUAUUCUGAGGAGCAUGCCUGUUUGAGUGUCAUUAAAUUUCUCAAUCCUCCUUUUUGUCUCAAUUGGAUAAAAUGGGUUGGCUUUGGACUUAUGGGAGUUGCAGGCUUAUUUAUAAAAGUCAGCUCUUCUAAAAAGUAUUAGCUUGAACAUGUUUUGAGAACUUGAAAGUCUAGCAAUUUGGUGUGAUAAUUAUCUACGCCAUUUGCUUAAAUCUCUAUUGAACUGUUUAGCUUCAAACACGUCCUGGUCUUUUUAGACUUAUUACUUUUGAUAAUUUGACCUCAAAUCAGGUAGGACUACCCGCUGAACUUAAGCAUAUCAAUAAGCGGAGAAAAGAAGCUAGCAAGC